AACGAACGCUGGUGGCAUGCCUAACACAUGCAAGUCGAACGAAGCCUUCGGGCUUAGUGGCGCACGGGUGCGUAACGCGUGGGAAUCUGCCCUUGGGUUCGGAAUAACAGUUAGAAAUGACUGCUAAUACCGGAUGAUGUCUUCGGACCAAAGAUUUAUCGCCCAAGGAUGAGCCCGCGUAGGAUUAGGUAGUUGGUGGGGUAAAUGGCCCACCAAGCCGACGAUCCUUAGCUGGUCUGAGAGGAUGAUCAGCCACACUGGGACUGAGACACGGCCCAGACUCCUACGGGAGGCAGCAGUGGGGAAUACUGGACAAUGGGCGAAAGCCUGAUCCAGCAAUGCCGCGUGAGUGAUGAAGGCCUUAGGGUUGUAAAGCUCUUUUACCAGGGAUGAUAAUGACAGUACCUGGAGAAUAAGCUCCGGCUAACUCCGUGCCAGCAGCCGCGG
rnacentral:rRNA from 1 species